rnacentral:rRNA from 1 species
AAUGAGAAGAAAAAUUAAUUUAAGAAUAGAAUAUUAAAUGUUAAAUCAUUAAAUUUAUAAAAUUUGGCGGUGUUUAAUCAGAUUAGAGGAAUCUGUAAGUUAAUUGAUAUUCCACGAUAAGAAAAACUUAAUUAUAACAAUUACUUAUGUAUUGCUGUUUUAAAAGUUUUAUUGAGUAAAAUUUUAAUUUUAAAAUUUUAAUAGAAUUCAAGUCAAAAUAUAGUUUAGUUAAGAAAUUUAUGGAUUACAAUUUUUUAAAAUAGUGGAGAACUUAUUUUAAAUUAAGUUUAAAAUUGGAUUUAAUAGUAAAUUUAAUUAAUUAAUUAAAUUGAAUAUUUAACCUUAAAUGCGU